GAUGAACGCUGGCGGCGUGCCUAAUACAUGCAAGUCGAGCGAACAGACGAGGAGCUUGCUCCUCUGACGUUAGCGGCGGACGGGUGAGUAACACGUGGAUAACCUACCUAUAAGACUGGGAUAACUUCGGGAAACCGGAGCUAAUACCGGAUAAUAUAUUGAACCGCAUGGUUCAAUAGUGAAAGACGGUUUUGCUGUCACUUAUAGAUGGAUCCGCGCCGCAUUAGCUAGUUGGUAAGGUAACGGCUUACCAAGGCAACGAUGCGUAGCCGACCUGAGAGGGUGAUCGGCCACACUGGAACUGAGACGCGGUCCAGACUCCUACGGGAGGCAGCAGUAGGGAAUCUGCCGCAAUGGGCGAAAGCCUGACGGAGCAACGCCGCGUGAGUGAUGAAGGUCUUCGGAUCGUAAAACUCUGUUAUUAGGGAAGAACAAAUGUGUAAGUAACUAUGCACGUCUUGACGGUACCUAAUCAGAAAGCCACGGCUAACUACGUG
rnacentral:rRNA from 1 species